UACGGAGGGUGCAAGCGUUAUCCGGAUUCACUGGGUUUAAAGGGUGCGUAGGUGGGCAGGUAAGUCCGUGGUGAAAUCCCUGAGCUUAACUCGGGAACUGCCAUGGAUACUAUUUGUCUUGAAUAUUGUGGAGGUAAGCGGAAUAUGUCAUGUAGCGGUGAAAUGCUUAGAUAUGACAUAGAACACCAAUUGCGAAGGCAGCUUACUACACAGUUAUUGACACUGAGGCACGAAAGCGUGGGGAUCGAACAGG
rnacentral:rRNA from 1 species